rnacentral:lncRNA from 1 species
CAGGUGUAGAUUGAUCAGCUGCUCUCCGAUCCUCUUUAUGCUGAGCCAAACACACACACACACACACACACACACACACACACACACACACACACACACACACACUCACACUGUCUCUCCUGUGCUCCAUUUCGUGCAGCUACAGUCUCACAUACAGGAACAGCAGAGAGGACGCAAAACAAGGUGACUCCUGCAGAGGCCAUCCAGGCAGGUACAUUCACAUUUCUGCUCUUCUCUGCUCACAUCUUUACUUUCAUGUCACUUAUUUCACUGUCAUAUGAACACACACACACACACACACACACACACACACACACUCUCACACUGUCUCUCCUGUGCUCCAUUUCGCGCAGCUACAGUCUCACAUACAGGAACAGCAGAGAGGACGCAAAACAAGGUGACUCCUGCAGAGGCCAUCCAGGCAGAUCCUUCUAUGUUUUUCUAGAGCCAGAACAGUUUGGUGUCUACAGACACAGCUUCAACUGUGACCCCAGAGACUGAGACAUCAUGUCAGGGGACGGUAGCCAGGGUGACAAAACCCAGUGCAAUGGAGAGAAAAAUCACAGGUAUACCUUCGGUUUCAUGGGAUUUGUUUUUCCUUUCUCAUUUUAAAUUGUGCAUUCACUUUACCCUGUGUAUUAAAAAGGCCAUUUUGCAGUGGUUACAGAUUAUUAUUAUUGUUGUUGCUUAAACAUACUGUUAAAACCUCAUUAGCAGGGUUUCUGCAGGUCUUUAAAAGGUCUUUAAAAGUGUAUACUUCACAUUUUCACAAAUUAAGGCCUUAAAAGCUCUUAAAUCGGAGCAGAAGAGAGCAGCCUUAAAUGUUGCAUGCACUGCAGAAAAUGAAUAUCAUCUUAAUUAUUUUUGUUUUUGUUGUUCCAAUAUGAAUAUGUAAACAUCCUUAAAUCCAAAUACAUUUUUCAGAUGCAAAAGGAUGAUAUGAAGUCUUGUUUUCUGAGAAAUGGAACAAUAUUAAAUGAGUCCAUGAUUAAAACAAGAACAAACAUCUGUUAAUGUGGUAUUAAAACUUGUUUUCCCUUUGAAUUAAGUUUAUUUUUCUGAGCCCACUGGCAGAUAUGUGUUGACGUUUUAACCCUA